AGGACGAACGCUGGCGGCGUGCUUAACACAUGCAAGUGGAGCGACGAACCAGGGCUUGCCCUGGGGCAGAGCCGCGAACGGGUGAGUAACACGUGGGUUACCUGCCUCGAUGACCGGGACAACCCGAGGAAACUCGGGCUAAUACCGGAUGUGCCCGUAAGGGGAAAGGAAGCUUCGGCCUCCGCAUCGAGAUGGGCCCGCGGCCCAUUAGCUUGUUGGUGAGGUAACGGCUCACCAAGGCUUUGAUGGGUAGCUGGUCUGAGAGGACGAUCAGCCACACUGGGACUGAGACACGGCCCAGACUCCUACGGGAGGCAGCAGUGGGGAAUUUUGCGCAAUGGGGGAAACCCUGACGCAGCAACGCCGCGUGGAGGAUGAAAUCCCUUGGGAUGUAAACUCCUUUCGAUAGGGAAGAUAAUGACGGUACCUAUAGAAGAAGCCCGGCUAACUUCGUGCCAGCAGCCGC
rnacentral:rRNA from 1 species